CCUACGGGAGGCUGCAGUGGGGAAUAUUGCACAAUGGGGGAAACCCUGAUGCAGCGACGCCGCGUGGGUGAAGAAGGGCCUCGGCGCGUAAAGCCCUGUCAGCAGGGAAGAAAAUGACGGUACCUGAAGAAGAAGCCCCGGCUAACUACGUGCCAGCAGCCGCGGUAAUACGUAGGGGGCAAGCAUUAUCCGGAUUUACUGGGUGUAAAGGGGGCGCAGACGGCGAUGCAAGCCAGGAGUGAAAGCCCGGGGCCCAACCCUGGGACUGGUCUUGGAACUGCGUGGCUAGAGUGCAGGAGGGGCAGGCGGAAUUCCUGGUGUAGCGGUGAAAUGCGUAGAUAUCAGGAGGAACACCGGUGGCGAAGGCGGCCUGCUGGACUUCAACUGACGUUGAGGCCCGAAAGCGUGGGGAGCAAACAGGAUUAGAUACCCCAGUAGUC
rnacentral:rRNA from 1 species